AUGAAGUUCCCUGCUAAUCUCCUAGGGCUGUUGAUGCUCUGGAUCCCAGGAUCCAAUGGGGAUGUUGUGCUGACACAGAAUCCGCUCUCCUUGCCCAUCGUCCUGGGAGAAACCAUCUCCAUCUCCUGCAGGUCCAGUCAGAGCCUCCUACAUAGUAACAAAAACACCUAUCUGCACUGGAUCCAUCAGAAGCCAGGCCAGCCUCCAAGGGGCUUGAUCUAUAGAGUUUCUAAUCGUUAUUCAUGGGUUCCAGACAGAUUCAGUGGCAGUGGGUCAGGGACAGAUUUCACACUGAAAAUCAGCAAGGUGGAGCCUGAGGAUCUUGGGGUUUAUUACUGUGUGCAGACUAUACAUGCUCCUCACACAGUGAUACAGCCCUGCACAUAA